rnacentral:rRNA from 1 species
AACAGGAUUAGAUACCCUGGUAGUCCACGCCCUAAACGAUGCGAACUAGGUGUUGGGGAAGGAGACUUCUUUAGUACCGUAGCUAACGCGUGAAGUUCGCCGCCUGGGGAGUACGGUCGCAAGAUUAAAACUCAAAGGAAUUGACGGGGACCCGCACAAGCGGUGGAUGAUGUGGAUUAAUUCGAUGCAACGCGAAAAACCUUACCUACCCUUGACAUGGCAGGAAUCCCAAAGAGAUUUGGGAGUGCUCGAAAGAGAGCCUGCGCACAGGUGCUGCAUGGCCGUCGUCAGCUCGUGUCGUGAGAUGUUGGGUUAAGUCCCGCAACGAGCGCAACCCUUGUCAUUAGUUGCUACGAAAGGGCACUCUAAUGAGACUGCCGGUGACAAACCGGAGGAAGGUGGGGAUGACGUCAGGUCCUCAUGGCCCUUAUGGGUAGGGCUACACACGUCAUACAAUGGCCGGUACAGAGGGCUGCCAACCCGCGAGGGGGAGCUAAUCCCAGAAAACCGGUCGUAGUCCGGAUUGCAGUCUGCAACUCGACUGCAUGAAGUCGGAAUCGCUAGUAAUCGCGGAUCAGCUUGCCGCGGUGAAUACGUUCCCGGGUCUUGUACACACCGCCCGUCACACCAUGGGAGCGGGUUCUGCCAGAAGUAGUUAGCCUAACCGCAAGGAGGGCGAUUACCACGGCAGGGUUCGUGACUGGGGGUGAAGUCGUAACAAGGUAACC